UCUUAGUAGGCCAAACAAAGGGCUACAAGAGCUAAAGCACACGGAAACAUCAGCUAUGGCUCGUACUUGCCGUGUUGUCAGAUGCAGUUUUAGAUCUCACGAUCGGGAAGGGAAUACGCUAGAAAAUGGGCUCUCUUUUUAUCGUUUCCCCUCCUGGAAGCAACGCGAGGGAUUUCAUGUAUCUUAUGUUACCAGACGAAGACGUCAGGCUUGGAUAGCAGCGGUGAGACGAGCUGAUAUCGAGUUCUCUGCCACCAGUAUUUUUGUUGGUGUGCUCCCGACAUUUUUAUUCUGAUUCUGAUGACGAACAGCCUCCAAGAAAAGGUUUCUCCAGGACCCUCAUGAAAGUACCAGGAAUUAAUUUCCAUCUAGGGAGUGGUCCAGGGUGACAAUGUCUCGAUUCACAGGGCACGGUGUUUACAAUGUCCAUGAAUGG